GAAUCAGCUAACUAAGUUCGAGUCCUGGCUUUUUCAGUAAAUAAUGGUUGACCUUGAGAAAGUCUUUCUCUCUUUGGUACUUCAUUUCUCCAUAUGACCAGUGGUUAGCAAUCAGAUGUUCCUUAAAUAAUGUCAUGUAUGUGCGAGUGCUUUCUGAAUUGAAAAAUGUAGGUGUUAGUUAUUACUUGUCUGGCUCUCUGGUCACCUCCCAGGACAAACCUUCCUCCUUCUUUAGCUGUGCGUUUUCACCCCAGCUUCAUGUUAGAAUCACCUUGAGAGCCCACUCCAAGAUGUUCUGAUUUCUCUACUUCUGGGAGGAGCUUCCCAGGUGAUUUCAUUGGCCAGGCAGCAUUGAGAUGCUCUGGUCCACCUCAGUGAAGAGGGAGGGAGCCUUAGGAACAUUCGUCCCCCUUCCUUCUUCAAUGCUUGGUCCUGGUCUCCUCUGUGGGCUUCUCCAUGAGGCACUCACCAUGUUCCAAAGGCCCGAGCAUUUUUGCCGAUGAACCUGCCUUUUCUAAAGCUCUGGCCAAACCCUCAACUGGGACAUGGUCUUCCUGUUUGUUAGCACAGCAGGCCUUUCUUGAAUAGCUUGACUGGGAAACUCAGCCAACAGUAUUUUUUACAGAUGUUUCAUUCUUUUUAAUGAAAACCAGCUCCCUCUCUACCUUGGAACAUGGAGCCUGCUAGUCAUCUCCCUUGAUGUGCUGGCAGAACACCCAUGCUCUAUACAUGGCCCAAGCACCACCUCGUCUGCCCACACUGCCACCACACGUGUCCACCUGCUCCUCCUCCCGACUUCCUGUCUCAGCCAGUGACGUCACCAUCUCCUGGGUCACCCAGACUGGAAGUGAGACCAUGGGGCAAUGGAAAGGAUGUAGAUUCUAGUUUAACCACCUGGGUUCAGAUCCUACUGACUGUUGAUGGAUGAUUUAGCCUUCUUGUGCCUCAGUUUCCUCUCCCAGGCAGGAUGGAUGCUAUUCAUUCUUAUGAUUUGUUAGGAUUAGAUGAGUCAAUGCCAAAAGAGCUCACACAGGGUAAGUGAGCAAAGAAUGUGAGGCUGCCUUAUUUGUAUCUUCUCCUUCCCCAAGGCCCACACUCCAAAAAGACUGUGGAACUGGCAGUUUGCACUCUGACAUGUUUCUUACCUGCUUCUUCCCUCUCCCAGUCUUUAAUUUGUUCCACCCAUACUUCUCCCAAGGUCUGCUUAUCUCCAGUCAUCCUCUUUAACCUCUUCCCCAUCAUGCCAUUUAUUUUUUCAUUAAAUUUAUUGGUACAUUUUAGGUGUACAAUACAGUUACAUUCAUCAUUGGGAUCUUGUACCUUUACAUGAUGUAUCUUGGUUCUUACUUUUUCCCCAUCCCCCUGCCCUCCCUUCACCCCCUCCUAAAUAGAGCUCUGGUCGCAUAACUUUAAUACUUAAAAUUGCCAGCGGCCUCUAGAAAAGAGGCUGAACUGCCUCAUGGCCCCUGCCCUGCUGUGGUUCCUGUUGGGAAGACUGCAGAUUCCUGGGUGGAGCCACAUCCUGUGGGAGUGCAGGGAGACAUCCCCAGCUGGCAGGCUCCGCGUCCUGGAGCGUGACUGGGUGUGUGUGUCCCUGACUGUGCAUCAUUUCAGGGUGGGGCUGUCUUGAACACAGCCAUUUGGUUUCUGUCACAUGAGCCCGAAACACAUGAGCAAAGACUCUUUGAAAACACAUUGUUCGUCAAUGAUUUUAAAAUACUUUUCCCUAAAACAUGAAGUAGCUUUUUCUAGUAAUUUUCAUGUACAUACUUGGGAAAUCUCCCCCAUCAUGGGAAAGCUACCCAGAAAUCGACAGCAAGAAUCUGGAGAGGAAAGGAUCGGAGAACAGGGGACAUCCACCUAUUCCCAGCCCCGGCAGAUUCAUCUCUAGGUUCUGUGUGGACCACAACUCAGGUCAUCAAUAGCACAUUUCAAUCCUGACUGUGCACUGGAAUCACCCGGAC
rnacentral:lncRNA from 1 species